AUACGUAGGGGGCAAGCGUUGUCCGGAAUUAUUGGGCGUAAAGCGCGCGCAGGCGGUUUCUUAAGUCUGGUGUGAAAGCCCGCAGCUCAACUGCGGAGGGCCACUGGAAACUGGGAAGCUUGAGUGUAGGAGAGGAGAGCGGAAUUCCACGUGUAGCGGUGAAAUGCGUAGAUAUGUGGAGGAACACCCGUGGCGAAAGCGGCUCUCUGGCCUAUAACUGACGCUGAGGCGCGAAAGCGUGGGGAGCAAACAGGAUUAGAUACCCUGGUAGUCCACGCCGUAAACGAUGAGUGCUAGGUGUUGGGGACUCCAAUCCUCAGUGCCGCAGCUAACGCAAUAAGCACUCCGCCUGGGGAGUACGGCCGCAAGGCUGAA
rnacentral:rRNA from 1 species